AAGUCGUAACAAGGUUUCCGUAGGUGAACCUGCGGAAGGAUCAUUACAUUCAGUAGCCUAGCUACUUGUUUAUACCCUUGUUUUUUGCGUACCUAUUGUUUCCUCGGCGGGCUUGCCUGCCGGUUGGACAACACUAUAACCCUUUUAAAUCUUCAAUCAGCGUCUGAAUUAUACAUAAUAAUUACAACUUUCAACAACGGAUCUCUUGGUUCUG
rnacentral:misc_RNA from 1 species